GUCUAAGUACAGUAUGUCAUAAAGAAGUCUAAGUACAGUAUGCCCUAAAGAAGUCUAAGUACAGUAUGCCCUAAAGAAGUCUAAGUACAGUAUGUCAUAAAGAAGUCUAAGUACAGUAUGACAUAAAGAAGUCUAAGUACAGUAUGUCAUAAAGAAGUCUAAGUACAGUAUGCCCUAAAGAAGUCUAAGUACAGUAUGUCAUAAAGAAGUCUAAGUACAGUAUGCCCUAAAGAAGUCUAAGUACAGUAUACACUAAAAAAGUCUAAGUACAGUAUGUCAUAAAGAAGUCUAAGUACAGUAUGACAUAAAGAAGCCUAAGCACAGUAUGACAUAAAAAAGUCUAAGUACAGUAUGCCCUAAAAAAAUCUAAGUACAGUAUGCCCUAAAAAAGUCUAAGUACAGUAUGUCAUAAAGAAGUCUAAGUACAGUAUGACAUAAAGAAGUCUAAGUACAGUAUGUCAUAAAGAAGUCUAAGUACAGUAUGUCAUAAAGAAGUCUAAGUACAGUAUGUCAUAAAGAAGUCUAAGUACAGUAUGCCCUAAAGAAGUCUAAGUACAGUAUGCCCUAAAGAAGUCUAAGUACAGUAUGCCCUAAAAAAGUCUAAGUACAGUAUGUCAUAAAGAAGUCUAAGUACAGUAUGACAUAAAGAAGUCUAAGUACAGUAUGUCAUAAAGAAGUCUAAGCACAAUAUGACAUAAAAAAGUCUAAGUACAGUAUGCCAUAAAAAAGUCUAAGUAUAGUAUGCACUAAAAAAGACUUAGUACAGUAUGUCAUAAAAAAGUCAUGAAGGUUAUAAAAAGUCUAAAGACAGUGUCAUGAAAAAGUCAUAGUAUUGCAGAAAUUCAUAAUAUUUUUUGAAAGGGAGGAGGCAAGUCUUUUAGAAAACCACUGGUGAUUGGAAAAGUUAUUUGACCAAUUUAUCAAGAAAGUUCAUAUUUUUUGCAAAUCUCACAAAACAGACAAUAUUGUGCAGUGUGCAUACUGAUCCCAUAAGGUGCACACCAUAUCACUUCAGGCUCAUUUCAGCUUUGCACAAUUAAAUGAGUCAGUCCUUUAGAUUCUCUCAACAUUUUCUCUCAUAUCCAUCCCUGAAUUUGAAAUUUAUUGUACACUGUAGACAAUCGCUUAACAAAAAUGUCUAAUUUCACUGUCCCAAGUCUUUAAAUAUACUAUAUUUCAAAUAUGGAUGUCAAUUCUUGUCUGUCAAAAGCUACGUGUAAAUGUGCAUUAUCUAUAUAUAAAUCUACUUCACACUCAUA